GAUGAACGCUAGCGGCAGGCUUAAUACAUGCAAGUCGAGGGGCAGCAUGACUGUAGCAAUACAGUUGAUGGCGACCGGCAAACGGGUGCGGAACACGUACAGAACCUUCCUUCAAGCGGGGAAUAGCCCAGAGAAAUUUGGAUUAAUACCCCAUAGUAUUACAAAGUGGCAUCACUUUGUACUUAAAGAUUUAUCACUUGAAGAUGGCUGUGCGGCUGAUUAGGUAGUUGGCGGGGUAACGGCCCACCAAGCCUGCGAUCAGUAACUGGUGUGAGAGCACGACCAGUCACACAGGCACUGAGACACGGGCCCGACUCCUACGGGAGGCAGCAGUAAGGAAUAUUGGUCAAUGGACGAAAGUCUGAACCAGCCAUGCCGCGUGGAGGAUGAAGGUCCUCUGGAUUGUAAACUUCUUUUAUAUGGGACGAAAAAGGGUCUUUCUAGAUCAACUGACGGUACCAUGUGAAUAAGCACCGGCUAACUCCGUGCCAGCCGCCGCAGUAAAAC
rnacentral:rRNA from 1 species